ACGAUGACUCUCGGUAAUGGAUAUCUUAGCUCUCACAUCGAUGAAGAAUGUAGUGAAAUGCGAUACCUGGUGUGAAUUGCAGAAUCCCGUGAACCAUCAAGUCUUUGAAUGCAAGUUGUGCCCGAGGCCACCCGACCGAGGGCAUGCCUACCUGGGCGUCAUGC
rnacentral:rRNA from 1 species